UUCCGCCUUGUAUAAUUUGCUCUGUUCUACCCUCUUCCUGAGGUUCUCCAAAGCCGUCGCUUCCUCGCGUUUCCUGGAGGGCGGCCAGUUCUCGCUUGACGUGUGGAUCAUGCUGAUUCCGGCACAUGACACAGACAUCGAGAUACUGAGAUAUUUCUUUGUGUCAAAAAGAAAUGACAUAUCAUACAGGUUUAUACAAGAUUAUAUUUAAUAUAUUUAAAAAAGAUUUAUGUAAGAAUAUUUGAAUAAUAAUUUAUUUUAGGACUGCCAGACAAGUUCUCGAAGAUUUAAAAGAUGCAAUGCAGUUCUUCACCAAUUUUUUCGAACUUCUGUAAUUCUGAAUAAUUAUUAGUAACAAACAUUUGUAAAUUGAGAUUCAUGGAUUCAAUAAAUUUAUGAAUCAAUGAAUGUUUAGAGUUUGUUUAGAGUUUGUCUAGAGUACGCUUCUAUGUGAAAAAUUUAUAUAGGUGAUGUGUAUUAUUAUUCAAUCAGAAAAGUUCAGUCAGUCAAAAAAUUUGGUUCGAUUUUCAGUUUUUCAAAUCAAUUUGUAUGUAAUACAGGCAACAAUAAUAUUGAUAAUUGAUAAUGUUUAUAUCAUAGAUAAUGUUUAAAAAUUAUGUUUAAUUAUAUCAGAUGAAGUUUAAUAUAAGAAAAUGUAAUAGGCACGAUAGUAGUUACUUGAUUGAUGAAUAAUUUGUUUUUACUGAAUGCAAUAAAGUAAAAUUUGAUGCGAAAAUUGAAACGAAUUUUUUGGCUGAUCCAAUUAUAAUAAUAUAACAAAUAAAACUAUUAAACUGUAAGAAUUUAUGUAAUUUUAUGUAACACGCAGUAUCAAUAAUUUCGAAUCAUUUCAUGAUUGUCUACAAAAAGAUGAAAAAGAUGUUCAAACCGACGUGUAUACGUAACUCUUAGAAAAUAUGAAAGAUUCUUAAAUAAAAAAAGGAGAAAAAUC